rnacentral:rRNA from 1 species
GUGGGGGAUAUUGCACAAUGGAGGAAACUCUGAUGCAGCGACGCCGCGUGAGUGAAGAAGUAUUUCGGUAUGUAAAGCUCUAUCAGCAGGGAAGAUAAUGACAGUACCUGACUAAGAAGCCCCGGCUAACUACGUGCCAGCAGCCGCGGUAAUACGUAGGGGGCAAGCGUUAUCCGGAUUUACUGGGUGUAAAGGGAGCGUAGACGGAAUGGCAAGUCUGAAGUGAAAUCCUGCGGCUUAACUGCAGAAUUGCUUUGGAAACUGUCAAUCUGGAGUGUUGGAGAGGUAAGCGGAAUUCCUGGUGUAGCGGUGAAAUGCGUAGAUAUCAGGAAGAACACCGGAGGCGAAGGCGGCUUACUGGACAAUAACUGACGUUGAGGCUCGAAAGCGUGGGAAGCAAACAGGAUUAGAUACCCCGGUAGUCC